GAAAAAGAAAAACUAAGAAAUGUCACCAAAGAAGCCCUAAAUUUAGAGCCUCAGGCGGAAGGAAAGAGGCUACUAGCUUUUGGUGCAUCAAGUUGGAGAGAAAUGCCUGGACCUUUGAGAAUUAAAGUAUGCUUUUGCAAUUGUUAGAAAAUUGUUUUGUUGGCUCUCCCUCAUGGGUUACCGCUUUAGGGGCCCUUAAGGAAUCCUAUAGAUAAAAUUCAACAAGCUUAAGAAAUGUUACUGUCAGUUUUAUUUUGCUUUUCCUGUUUAGGUUUCUUAUAUCUAUUAGGGGUAG
rnacentral:misc_RNA from 1 species